rnacentral:lncRNA from 1 species
GUUAAUUAAUAAAGAAUCAAUAGCCCAACAAAAUGGAUCACUGUACAAAAGUUGAACCGUAGUUUCAACUUAGGAAUACCACUAUUCAGUAGUCAUAUACCUACCAUAUACUUCAAAUAAAGUUGGCCAUGAAUCGGACCUUAUUCUAGUUGGUUCAUGCAACUACCUAAAUUCGGACUGCAAUUCCUUUCGAGUAAAAGAAAAGUGAGGAAGCAAUGGAGUUUGGGAGUCUCCUUCCAUUGCAGUACUAAAGAGGCAACCAAAGGUAAAAUUUAGCAACAAUGCCGCACGCCCCUCAUCAUAGACCCCAUCACUUUCCUCUUCUUAAUUCACAUUCACGCAUGCAGGUGCGUGCAUUCCUUACAUACCCUGUUGCUGUGAAUUUCAACUCAGUAUCAUUGGACCAUCCUGCUCCAAAUAAGUAGGCAAACAAUAAAUAGAUAAAGAACCUCAAGUACACAACAAAAAAAAGCUUAAUAGUGUUCAUCGUUCGAGAACGCAGGAAAUGGAAAGCUCGUGCAGAUUUACAACAUACUAGUUCUGGGUCCGAUCCAUGGAUAACUCCUACCCUUAUCCCCUAAUCAAAAAAUAAAUAAAGUUGCAGAUGAAUAUCAGAAUAAGUGGCAGGCUGGCUAAUAAAAACUAUAUGAUGUAUAAUAACUUCUAACACUAAGGUGUGAAGAUCAAUUACAGCAGCUUAGCUUGUGAAGUCAGAAAGCAACUAAGCUUUUUUUGAAGUCAGAAAAAAUGAUGCCAGAGUAAUACUAGGAAGUCAGAGGGAAGCUAUGCUUACCAUAUUAAAAUGGCCAAGGGAACACAUCGAACGACAGAGAUUGGUUAUUCAAGUUUCUAAGGUGGAUUCUGAAAAGGUAAUUAACAAUUGCAGUGCAAAAGGAAAUACAAAAGAAAAUCACAACUCUUUUAGUACUUUGUGAUCUCUGUUAGUGGCCUGUGCACCCUACAAUAUGCCUCCACAUGAUAACUGAACAGAAAAUUCAAAAGGAACAUUCACCCUGUUUCAUGAUAAGAGAAUCAAUCACAGUUAAAGAACCAAAGAUUGAACACUGCUGGUAAU